rnacentral:lncRNA from 1 species
AGAAGGAAAGUCAGAGAAAGGAAAUUGCAAAAGUAAAACAGGUGAGAUGUGAUGUCCCAGAUUCAAUGCUACAUGAGUCUGCUGCGCACAAAGUAGUGAAGAUAAGUCAUCCUAAAAUGGCCUGCUUUCACACUUGUGUUAUCCCAGGAGCUGGAGCCUUACAAUCACCAUGAGUACCCAGUACCACAAGAGCUGAUGACUCUGGUAGGUUAGUGACUUUAGCGUGCUGCUCUACAACUUCCAACCAUUUUCAGCUUCUCCAUUGUACUUCUGGUCCAUAGACCAGGGCUGUGACUGAAAGACUUACUUGCCUAAGGCACAGGUAGGUGGCAUAUGGGAUGCUGGUUUUUAUUUCUUUCCUUUUUUCUUAAUUAUCUACAAGCAGUGUAUUCCCGCAGC